UUGUUUGUGCUUUGGAGGCGUGAUGUGCUGCCAGAGGGGGAGGACGAGGGAUGGACAGUCACAGCAGAGAGUGUGAAAUCCCAUCUUUGGUUAAUUAACAAAGGAGGAGAACUGCCAAGUCACUGGGCUGAGUUCACCUCAUCUCUUAAUCACAAUCUCUUUUUUUCCAACUUCUCUGUAUUCAUCUCCUUUUGUCUCUGUCCUUCUGUUCCUCUGUGUUCUUUUUCCUCCAAGUUGUUUACAUCUUGGUUGGUUUCUCUUCUCCAAGUCUUCAUUUUCUCUGUACUUUUCUCUUUGUCUUCAUCAUGCAUGCCUUUCCUCGUGCUUUUUCUGUUCUUUUCCCUCUCCCUCUCCCUCUCUUUGCAUGCCCUGAAUAUGUCUAUAUUUGCAGGCUCUGGGACAAGAAGAGCAACCCAGAGCCCUGGAACAAGCUUGACCCCUCCUACCAGUACAAGAGAAAAGAGCAUUUCCCGAGGUUUUCAAGGCUGCAUUGCUUGCCAGUGGAAUGAAAGUCACUGCAGACAAAAGUUUGUGGCCAUCAACACAGACUACAAGAACCUGAAGAAACAAGGCCCUGACUUCUAAAGGUCCUCCAGGCAACUCCAGGGGCACCAAGUUUGGCAUGACCUCCUGCUGUCGCCAUGCACCGCCAUGUCAAACAUCUCCCUGAAUGUUUCCCCCAAGCCUCAACUCAUGCUCCUUGACAGCUACUCUGAAUUAUAACUGUAACCGUGUGAAAAACAACUAUUAAAGAUCACAUGAGAUAGAGGCUGGCUCUUUAGAGCAUGAU